UCAUGGUAGCCUCCCAGGGGAGAAGGUUCUU
rnacentral:piRNA from 1 species